GGGAGGAUGUGACAAGCAAGGGUUUCCCAUGAAGCAGGGAGUUUUAACUCCAGGCCGUGUUCGCCUUUUGCUGUACCGAGGUACUCCUUGUUUCCGGGGAUAUGGUAGGAGAAAUGGUGAACGCAGAAGGAAAUCUGUCCGUGGAUGCAUUGUUAGCCCUGAUCUUUCUGUUCUGAAUCUUGUUAUCGUGAAAAAGGGUGAGAACGAUCUGCCUGGACUGACUGACACUGAGAAGCCAAGGAUGAGAGGACCCAAGAGAGCUUCAAAGAUCAGAAAGCUCUUUAACCUCUCCAAGGAAGAUGAUGUCAGGAAG
rnacentral:misc_RNA from 1 species